rnacentral:rRNA from 1 species
AUCUUACGCCUGGCGGCAGGCCUAACACAUGCAAGUCGAGCGGUAACAGAAAGUAGCUUGCUACUUUGCUGACGAGCGGCGGACGGGUGAGUAAUGCUUGGGAACAUGCCUUGAGGUGGGGGACAACAGUUGGAAACGACUGCUAAUACCGCAUAAUGUCUACGGACCAAAGGGGGCUUCGGCUCUCGCCUUUAGAUUGGCCCAAGUGGGAUUAGCUAGUUGGUGAGGUAAUGGCUCACCAAGGCGACGAUCCCUAGCUGGUUUGAGAGGAUGAUCAGCCACACUGGGACUGAGACACGGCCCAGACUCCUACGGGAGGCAGCAGUGGGGAAUAUUGCACAAUGGGCGCAAGCCUGAUGCAGCCAUGCCGCGUGUGUGAAGAAGGCCUUCGGGUUGUAAAGCACUUUCAGUCAGGAGGAAAGGGUGGUGGUUAAUACCCAUUAUGUGUGACGUUACUGACAGAAGAAGCACCGGCUAACUCCGUGCCAGCAGCCGCGUNAUUUACG